rnacentral:rRNA from 2 species
UGGGCCUAAGCAUCCGUAGCCGGCUGCUCAAGUUUCCGGUUAAAUCUAUGCGCUCAACGUAUAGGCCGCCGAAAAUACUGUGCAGCUAGGGAGUGGGAGAGGUACACGGUACUCAGUAGGAAGGGGUAAAAUCCUUUGAUCUAUUGAUGACCACCUGUGGCGAAGGCGGUGUACCAGAACACGUUCGAAGGUGAGGGAUGAAAGCUGGGGGAGCAAACCGGAUUAGAUACCCGGGUAGUCCCAGCUGUAAACUAUGCAAACUCAGUGAUGCAUUGGCUUGUGGCCAAUGCAGUGCUGCAGGGAAGCCGUUAAGUUUGCCGCCUGGGAAGUACGUACGCAAGUAUGAGACUUAAAGGAAUUGGCGGGGGAGCACAAG